AAUGACAGAGCCGUCAUUAUCACCAGGAGAGCUGGAACUGCCUUCAGCAUCGAUUCCCUGGUCAGAAGCUGCCAACAGGACCAGCACAUGCACUUUGAAAUCAGGAAAGUAAAAUGGCAAAGAGUAAGGGAGCAAUGAGGCAAAGCGUGCGUGGAUGGGGGAUCUGGAUGGAUGCCAAGUGGAUGCCAUGGUGCAAGUCAGGACUUUGGUGCUCCACGAUAAGCAGAACACUUACACUGAGCACCGUGCAUGACUCCUGUUUCCUAUCUGUGCCACCCCCCUGCAGCAAGGCUACCUGAGCGUGCUCAGGGGUGCUGGCACUUGUGCUGGCCCAAGCGCUAUCACCACAGGGGUGGCUUCCCAGGCAGGGCUUAUCUACAGCCACAGGCUGCCUCUUGUCUCUCGGGCAUUCCCACAGUGACAUAAACAGCCAGUCAGUGAUACAGCUGAAAACCAUCCUUUCCCUUAAGAACAGGAAAAAACCCUUCUCAUCUUAAGCAAGAACUUGGGGCCUCGUCCUUUCUAAGCUGUCACGCAGCUCACAGUGACAGGAAUUCAGUGUGACUGCAGAGGAGCCCCAGGAGGCAGCACAGCAUUCCAGGCCACCCCCUCCUCUUCUGGUGAUACCUCUGCAUUCAGGCACUUUGGGAGAAGGCAGAACAAGCUCUGCGUGGCACUGACAUUUGUUACAUCUGGGUCUUCGAUCACCAGGCACAUGAAUUUUAGAGAGGCAAGCAAAACACACUGGGUGUUCUACUGUAAACUCAAAGCUGCAGCCAGCUGACAUCCUCUGGGCAUCACGUCCAUGAACAUCCAUGUCCAUGGUGUUCUUGCAUCAAGGCAGCAAAGGAAGCGAGUUGGCAUCGAAGCCGCGCGGGCCACCAGUAGAGGGCAAAGGAAGCCAAGGAAUUCUCUUCCCCAGAGCAACAAAGAAAACAACGUCAUCUCCGAGUGGCCGCUGCUCCCGGCGCGCUGGGAUCACACUGCGAAUUAGCAAAACAUGCUGGCUUCACCCCUCAGCCGGCUGCGGCCAAAAGCCAGAGACGAGGAGAAGUUAAAACGCCAAAAGCUGCGGCCCGAAGGAGCGCGGCCGGUCGCUGUGGGUCGGGACACGCAGCAGCACACGGAGAGAGCGCUGCCGGCUCCCGGGAUCCAGAGGGAGCAGCGCGGCUCCCUCCCGCUGGAAGCAGCGCUGAAACCCAGUGACCUAAAUAUUCUCGCCCGUGGUGCCGCAUGAGCAGCUCCCGGGAGCACCACGUUUGACUGCGGAAAUGUGAAAUUGUUUUGUGGGGGAAGGGAGGGGAGAGCGAGCGAGGCGUUCAAAAAGGGAGGGAAAUCGUCAAGGUAAAUCUCUUGGGUAUAGAUGAACACUUCAUCCAGUUUAAAAAAAAUCUUAUUUUAUCUCUGAAUUCGUAGUUUAAUUUUCUGUCCAAUAUACCAAGGAGAGGCUUCUUAAAUAUCUGAGAGCAAGUUCUCACACAGCACCUGUCAUAUUUGCAAUUUGCAAAACAAAUGACAGCAUUUACACAAAUUUCUCGUUCACAAGAUGAAAUCCCUACAAUUUGUGCUUCAGCCACUAGAAAUCAAGUAAAAACAAUCCCUGAGGGUAACUGCUGAGUAUUACAUUAAGCAAUAUCAUUUUAUAAAGUCAUAGAGUAAAAUGCCAGUAGGUGCUAACUGCAUUUCAGAGAUUAUAAAAUAUAAUUACCUUCAGAAUUGUAUCUACCAAUGACAUAAAAAAAAAAUAUAUCUCUGACUAGAAAGUGCAAUGAGAUCCGUGAAUUACAUGCCAAAAUUCUAUGGAAACAGAGUCCUGCCGACAAAUGUGCCUGUGCUAAUUCCACACCGGUGGAAAGCAGCAUUUCCACCAGCGGGAUUACUCACCCAUUGCAGUCGAGGAUGAUCACAAACGCUGACAGGUAACUCCCUUUUCAACUCAAGCCAUCAAAACCCUCCCUUUCUUGUCACGAUUGCACAGAGCUGCUGAGAUUUGAAGUUCGAUUCAGCGUGUGUGAGCUGUAUUUCAUCGUGCCUUCAUCUGAAGUGUGCAGAGGACAAUCGCAAAGAUAAAAGCUGCCAUUUAAAUUGUUCUUCUGGUCUCUGGCCUCACUUCUGUCGUCUUUUUCUCUGUCUGAAGCAUCACUGAUUAAUCUGAAUUACUUAAAUCUGUUUAAUUAACGUUGCUUUGUCUUUAAAUAGUUUAGCCUUAAUCUGUCUAAUCCUUUAUUGGUUCUAUUAAUCCCUGUUAAAUUUGUCUAAUGAUAAAAUAAGCAAACUUGCACAAGAUUGAA